ensembl:lncRNA
CUGGUCUCGGCCCGGCUCGGCUCGGCUCGGCGUCGGCUCUCCGCACCGGCGGGUCGGCGCGCUCCGUAAGCUUUGCUCUCGCUCCCCCGUCCGACCGCUCGGGUGCCCUGCAGCCUCGCCCGGCGCCCUACUCCUUCCCAGCGAAGGGCCCUUCCCGGAGCCUGGAAUGCAGCAAUCUAGAGAAAUUUACCAAGAAUUACGCUGAGUGAAAAAACUCAUCAUAAAAGAUUGCAUACUAUAUGCAUCUGUUUAUGUCACAUUCUUGGAAUAACAAAAUUGAAGAAAUGGAGAACACAUGAGGAGUUGCCAAGGGUUAAGGAAGAUGCAGAGAUAAUUUGAAAAUUGCCUAAGCAUGGUGGCUCAGGGCUGUAAUCCCAGCAGGUGGGAAAGUGAGACAGGAGGAUUGCUGCAAGUCUGAGGCCAACCUGGG